UAGAAUAUAGAUCUAUAUGUAAUUUAGCAUAGUUUUGGAACUCUCUAUAGACUUUCUAGGCUAAAAUUGACUAUCUACUAGACUCUAGUACUAGUCUAGAUCAAGCUGUUAACCAAAUAUGACAACAAGUGCUUCCGAGAUUUUAAGUCAUUUUCAAGAAUACUUAAAUGCGGAACAUGAUCUUAGAGAGGAGAUAAGAAUAGUUGUGAGAGAUUUGGAACAAACAGUUCGAGAAAUACAAACCUCACUUCAACCAAUACACCAACCUGCUCAAACUGCCAAUUACUUAAGCUUUUGUGAAAAUGCUUUAUCCAUGUUUCACAAAAUUCAAGAACAUUACAAACAACUCUCCAGCAAAAUUCCACUAAACCAGUAUUAUAGGUUUAAUGAUCAUUGGAGGUUUGUCACUCAACGUGUGGUCUACAUGUGCGCACUCAUUAUUUAUUUAAAAGAAGAAAGAUUAGUUUCAAGAGAAGAAGUUGCAGACAUGAUUGGAGUUCAAGUAAAUCGAGAAGAUGGCUUUCACAUUGAUUUAGAUGAUUACCUCAUGGGAAUUCUCAAUCUUACUAAUGAACUGUCUCGUCUAGCUAUGAAUGCAGUCACUGCUGGAGACUACUCUCGACCACUGAGAAUUUCACAGUUUAUUGGAGAGCUGGAUGCAGGUUUCAGGUUCUAACAUACAUCUAGUCCCUUAUUGAUGAUGUGCCCUAAGAAAUGAAUUAGCUCUUCUUGACCUCUGUCUUACUUGAUCUGGUUGUCAACCCAUACAGUCUAAAUGAUAGCGGUAGAGAUAUAAGUCCCUCAACAUGCCAACUGUUGUGAAAUAAACAGAUGUCAUCUAAAUAUGCUCUGACAUCAUGACAUCCUGGAAGUACUCAGCCAGUCUGUUUUUUAAAGGUUAUUAAAUUUAAAGAAUGAUGCAUUGAGGAAAAAAUUUGAUGGCUUGAAAUAUGAUGUGAAAAAAUGUGAAGAAGUUGUUUAUGAUUUAACAAUCAGAGGACUAGUCAACAAAGUUGUAGACAAUGUAAAU